AUUGAACGCUGGCGGCAUGCCUAACACAUGCAAGUCGAACGGCAGCACGGUAGUUGCUACCUGUUUCCGAGGGGGAAUCGCGUGCGUAAUAUAUCGACAUCUGUCUUUACGUGGGCGAUAGCCCUGCGAAAGGCGAAUUUACCCCACAUCCGCAUAACGCCUAAGAGUGGGAGCCUUGGAUCUCCCGCUCUUUGGUGAUUGCAGGUGGCGAUGGCGGAUUAGCUAGUUGUUGGGGUAAAGGCCUACCAAGGCGACGAUCCGUAGCUGGUCUGAGAGGAUGAUCAGCCACACUGGAACUGAGACACGGUCCAGACUCCUACGGGAGGCAGCAGUGGGGAAUAUUGGACAAUGGGCGAAAGCCUGAUCCAGCAAUGCCGCGUGUGUGAAGAAGGCCUUCGGGUUGUAAAGCACUUUUGUUGGGAAAGAAAAGCAGGAAGUUAAUACCGUGCUGUGAUGACGGUACCGAAAGAAUAAGCACCGGCUAACUUCGUG
rnacentral:rRNA from 1 species